rnacentral:sRNA from 1 species
CUCCCCCGGACCUUGUAAAAUUUCUAAUCAAGAGACUCAGUGAGUCAGUCAGCCCACCACGUGACUCCUGCAGAAGAUUCAGCCCAUUGAAGCGAGUGGGAGCUGAGCGGGCCACCACUCAGCCCUACUUCUUCACACCCAGCACCUACCCUGGGGUUACACUACAAGCAGUUUCUGCGAACUCCCUCUGAGGUCGGAAAGAUACACAGCCCUCCCUCCUGGGUACCGCUUAUUCCCUUCCCCACUUCCUUAUUAAUGACAGGCACAUCCCUGGAGCCACCAGCUCAGCUCCGCCUCCCUUCCAGCGCAGCCUCUGAUUGGACCUCUGUCUGGCUCCUCCCACUUCUUCCCCAGACCAGCCUCUGGCAUUAGCUUGCCCUCACCCUCCUUGAAGGUCGGGUGCUCCACUACUGGAGGUAGAAGGGUGGAAUUGCGCUUGUUUUGCCCUACUUCAAAUACUUUUUGGGGGGCUGCGUGAGACUAUGAAGAAAUACUGGGGGAGUAGGCCAUGGGCCUUUCUAGCUUGAGACCCGGGCCUGCAGCUCGGACCCUCUGAGAACCUCAUGAAAGCAUUCCAGGAUGUAAUAAACCCGUCAAGCCUCGGCUAAUUUAUAUGGAAGCAGAUGAUUUCCCAUUUUUUAGAAUGUAAAUGUUUACAUUGUAGCAUUCCCCUGCCCCCGGCAUCCGGGGCCCUGGCACGUCAGUGAUGGAAUCAGCCGCUUCUCCUCGGGGAUCCUUAGAUGGAAGCGUCACGAUGCCAAGAAGCGUCCCGCUUUCAGCCAGCCCGGGUGUGCAAACCCCGCACCAAGGAAGGCCACCAAGCGUUUGCUUAAUGUUACCAAGUUCCACGUGGCUCUUACAGAGGAGAAGUAGCACUUUUAAGGGUAAGCCUCAGAACAGAGGGUGCAAUUCUGACUAUGUAGCUUCCCAAGGUCUCUUUGCUACACUUCUCUCCUCUAAGACAGUCAAUUCCUUACGAGCUCUAAUGUAUUAGCUUUAUAUGGGAGUUUUGUGUUGUAGAAAUAGUGACUAGCAUAGAUGGGUGGGAAACCUUGACAACAAUCCAAGGAAAUUAUGCUUUAGCUCAUAGACCCCCUGAGUGCCCUACUACCCCUCUGUGUGCAGGUCUGCUUGAGGCUAAGAACCCUGCCCUUUAACACUCUGGGUGUCUGUGAACAAGUGCAACUCCUAGAAAAGGGUUCGCCACUUGGUCAUAAGCCCCAGAAACUACAAAGGUCUCCUUGGAUCCCUGUGAGAGCAAAGAGCCACUGCGAUUCGUGCCACUGGUCACCCAGGCACGCCUGGGGUUCUGGUGCCUGCUCCAUUAGACAAGCGCAUGUUCUGUUCAAUAGGAGCCAUAUAUGCUACCUGGACCUUUAGCUUCCUCACUGGCCAAGUGAGGAAGUAUGUCUGACCCUCCCCACCUCUAACAAAUAGUGAGGGAGAAGUAAAAGCCCUUCCCCCACCCAGGAGUGGGAAAAGAUACAGCACCUUGGAACCCUGGUCCUUCGGUUACUACCAUGCCGGACUGUGUGUCCUUGGGUAAGUGACUCACCUCUCUGUGCUCCGUGUUCUUUAAGAUGACGAGAUACUAAACUAUAGUAGCAAUCUCCUAGCUACUAAUAAUUGCCAGGUGCUGAGUUUUUCACUCCCUGGUCUACAGAGCAGUCAGUGAGGGUAUCUGAGACUGGACCAUCUGCCUGGCAAACAAUGCUUGCCGGCUGGCUGGUGGCAGACAGUGCUCAAGGACUGGAGAAGGCGGGUGUGACCCAGGGGCAUUCUUGCACUCAAGAGAUCCUGUGCCUCACCCCGCCCCCCAUCAGAUCAAUGGAUCAACUGUAACUGUGAUGUACCUGACCACCGUUCUCCAUACCUGCUCUCAGAAUCCAUGGCAAAAACAGGGGUCAGCCCCCUCUCCAGCUGAACUAGGUCACCUGAGGACACAGUUUCCAGGGAAAACAUCUGAGUGAGCCUCUCCAGUCCAUCUCAGCCUUGCUGGGGUCUAAAGCUCAUGGCAGCCCGAGACCCCAUAGCCACCAGUGCAGAAGACCAAGCCCACUGUCUCCAUCAACCUGAAGCCUGUCCAGAGCUCAGCAGAGACAAGUCACAUGCCAACUCCUACAGCUGGGUCCCUGUGUCCCCCUCCUCAGGGUGAGUCUCCUGACCCUAACUUCCCAUCGACAGCAGUCUGGAAGCCCAAAUCCUACUCAAUGACCAGCACACAGUAGGUACUUAAGAUCAGCAGAGAAGUAACAAGGAAUCCGCUAGUUCAGCCUCCAAAGCAGAGCCUCCAUGUGUAGGGGCAGAAGAAAGGGACCUCAUUUUUUGUCCUUUGUGCAAAUUAACAAUGAUGGCUCUACAGGGCAAGAGACAUUGCUUAUGACAACUGAGGCUCAACUUCAAGCUCACCCCCCACAAGAGAGCACCUGGACGCCUCUCCGAAGAGCAACAAAUACACUUUGGAGAGUGCCGGGGAUUGCCAGGAGCGCCAACUACAUUUCCAGCCUGACACCCAGCUGCAACAAAGCAGAUUCCUUUCUUCCCUUCUCUCGAAAAGCCUAAUCCAGAUAAGCCGGACCGACAAUGGCUGCCUGGCCACGAAAGACUUCCCUUUCCCGGGUGAUGGGACUCACACCUGGUGACAUCAGCCUGGCACAGUUCUAAGUGUAGGGGUGGCCAAACACCAGCUCCCAAUGCUUCCGCACCCAAAGCCCCAGCUUCAGCCAAGAGCGACUGCCCUUCCCCUUCCCCCCACAUUGCCAGUCUAGGACUAACCUACCCAGCAACAUCAGGACAGCAGGACAAUUCCGAAGGGUAGGUACUAGGUGACGUGGUCAUAUCUUUAGCUACUGGGAAGCCAAAAAAACACUGGCAGGGCUGGCCUUCUGCUAAUGUGGCUGGAUUGUUCCCCAGAGUUUCCCAGAGGAGUGGGUCCUGGGUCUGUUGAUCUAGAACAUUCUUUUCUGUGGUCUGACUCCUGCCAAAUUCUCCCAGGAUGUGACCCCUGCCAUCAGAUGACUGAGAACAGAUGGCAAACCCUGUGACUCUCCUAAGACCCUAACCUCACGUGGACAGGCUGAACUACUUGUCGCCAUCUUGAGAUCACUGCCCAGAGACCCUCUUUUCAUGUCUUCCUCCAGGGAGCUGGCUCUAGUCUGUGUUUGGAGAAAGAGGGGGACAGGCAGCCUGUCAGGAAUACCUUUCCACACAGGUGAAUCUUUCCACACGGUCGCACCAGGAUUCGGGUGACCUCAAAUGCAAACCUUAAAUGGCUCCCAUACCUCAAUAGCCUUCAUCUCUGCGUGUCUGACAUAGGCAGCGUACUUCAGAAACUAUGGCUCCAAAGGCAAGCUAAGAGGGACAGAGAUCCCAGGUGGGCAGGGACGGGAGCCGGUGUCAGUCGUCAAGAGCACCAUUCUGCCAUCAGACCCACAGCUUCCACCCCGCCACCACCAACUGCUGUACUGACCGCUGUUGCUGCAAAAGCACCACAAGUCCCUGGGACCCAAGGUACUGACCCUGAAGUGACGCCUGAGUGACAGUAGCUCCUUGUCCAAGCCCCUUGACUGCUACGUUAAGGUAUGUGGUCAGUGGAGGAAAGAAGAAAGAUGCUUCCCCAGGGCAGGGGAGUAAAUAGCCAAAGGCCAUGUUGUCCAUGAGGUACAGUCUGCCCGAGCCAGCAGACUUGAAUGGAGAUUGAAUUUGGAGAACACGGCAGGAAGCAGGGGUCUGUGACUAUCGGGGUGAUUGCCGCUGUACUUUGCUUUGUCUUUAGCCAUGGAAGCUUCUGGAUAGAAAAACCAAACCCAGAAUUGUCACCGAGAGACAGAGUUAGCUGAGGCAACUGUAACAGUAAAGACAGAAGCGUUGGAAGAGUAUAGAGUGGUCAGGCAGAAGGCUCGAGGGGCAGGCCAAAGCUGCCCAUGGUUGAGGGAUGAGAUGGAGGGGAAGGGAGUGGUCUGGAGAGAAGAGACGGACCUUAACGAGGCUCGCGGCGGCAGGGGAGCAGGUCCAAGCACCAGACUGGGAUGCCCGGGAGAUUCCUAUCUCAGAGCACUUCAGCCUAGGAAGCUAUGGACCACAAGGAUGUCUAGAGCUCCCUACUCAGCAUGGAGUAUGUUUCACAGCAGAUAUUCUUCUACAGGUGCCAAGGUCAGGAGAAGACUGAGAGACACUGUGACAUGUCUCUUCCUCCUCCAAAUGCCUACCAGACCAAGCAUGGACAAGUGCACACCACACACACCUACC